AGUGAACGCUGGCGGCAGGCCUAACACAUGCAAGUCGAACGGCAGCGGGUCAGUAGCAAUACUGAUGCCGGCGAGUGGCGGACGGGUGAGGAAUACAUCGGAAUCUACCUUGUCGUGGGGGAUAACGUAGGGAAACUUACGCUAAUACCGCAUACGAACUAUGGUUGAAAGCGGCGGACCGCAAGGCGUCGCGCGAUUGGAUGAGCCGAUGUCCGAUUAGCUAGUUGGCGGGGUAAAGGCCCACCAAGGCGACGAUCGGUAGCUGGUCUGAGAGGAUGAUCAGCCACACUGGAACUGAGACACGGUCCAGACUCCUACGGGAGGCAGCAGUGGGGAAUAUUGGACAAUGGGCGAAAGCCUGAUCCAGCAAUGCCGCGUGAGUGAUGAAGGCCUUAGGGGUUGUAAGGCUCUUUUACCCGGGAUGAUAAUGACAGUACCGGGAGAAUAAGCUCCGGCUAACUCCGUGCCAGCAGCCGCGGUAAU
rnacentral:rRNA from 1 species